UUUUCAGGUGUUCUAAGAACCGUUAAUUACAUUAACAAUCGGUAUCUUAGAUUGUAAAAAAAAAACUUCGCACCGCAAAGAUGAUCAAUGUUUCCACAAAUAACAUUUGAGUUCAAUUAUGAAUGGUCGUCGGGAGAGGACGGUAACGUGUAGACCUAUACAAAGUAGCAGUAGCAAGCUAAUGUGUAGGAAAAUGUAUAUGUGGUGCUUGGCAACAGUCCAGUCCCAGACCAGUUGGGGAACUAUGUGUGUUUGUGGAGCCAAAUAAAUGAUUAAAUAAAUAAACAAAUCAUAAUCUGCUGUCGCUUAUUACUGUUCACUAAUAAAUUGCGCUCGUAGAACUGUUGUAUAAAAGCAAUAUCACACUUGAGGUCGUGCUGUAAGGUCAUGAAGCCACCCGCUGCUGGACAAAGUGAAUCACUCAAUCACCAUGAUGAAGGCUUUACCAGAUAUGUUCCCAUCACCUGUGGUUCCACCGAAGAAUUUGGGACAUGCAAGUGAGGCAUCUUCCUUGAGUCUGCAGAAGACCCCAACACAUUUCUUCAGGCGAGCCCACUCUUCAGCCCUGUCGUGAUUGUCUGCAAAACCAACUGCGUACUGGCCAUUGGAACCAUGCCUGUGGUGACCUUCCCAAAAGAGGACAUCUAUGCCAGCGUGACGUACCUCAUGGCGUGUUAUUGCGCCUUUCACCUCACAUAUCCCAAGUGCAUUGCGACACUCCUCUCUGUGCUGCAGACAGAAGUCCAUCCACAACCGGGACAUGACUUCUGCAUAUAAAAAGGCUAUGGCCGAGUGGAAAAGUUCAUUACUAACUAGGGUUGCACAAUACAAUUAUUUUAUUUCCAGGCCCCAAGAACAGAACUGGGUGUAUUGGCCCAUCCGAGACCCAAUCCGAUAACCUUUAUUAAAUAGGCAGGGCGUUUGUUGUUUAUUAUAAGAAGGUUUAAAGCACUGUUACGUUUGUUAUCUUCCCAUUGGUCUUACGUUUUCACCUUGACCACCAAUGGCCUUUGAUGUUGUUGUUUUUGCAUCCUUCGUUCUGCUCCUAUCAGCCUCUGGAUAUACUGAGUCCUCAAUUAAGAAGUGAAAAGAAAUUAGAUUCAUUCUUUCUUUAAGCAAGCCAAUAUAAUUUCUAGUAGUAGUACGAGUACAUUUAUCUCAGUCAGAUUACUUAUUUUAAGCACAAUAUGCUAUUUUUAUGUAAAUUCCUGGGCAUAUUGACUUAUUUCAAGGCGAGUGCAAUAGCAUUGGAUUCUAAAUUUAAGCACAUUUUCCUACAUAUUGAGAAAAUAAUUCUCAAAUAUUUUCUUUAUAUCUAAACAAAUGUACUUGGUUUUAGUGUAGCUGUACUGGUUUUAAGCUAUAUUUACUCAGCACACAGCCUUAUUUCAAGAUGAUGGCACUGGCAUUUGCUACAUUUAAGCACAUUUUCCUAUACAUUGAGAAAAUAAUUAUUAAAUAUUUUCUUUAUAUCUAAACAAAUGUACUUGGUUUUAGUGUAGCUGUACUGGUUUUAAGCUAUAUUUACUCAGCACACAGCCUUAUUUCAAGAUGAUGGCACUGGCAUUUGCUACAUUUAAGCACAUUUUCCUAUACAUUGAGAAAAUAAUUAUUAAAUAUUUUCUUUAUAUCUAGACAAAUGUACUUGGUUUUAGUGUAGCUGUACUGGUUUUAAGAUAUAUUUACUCAGCAUACAGCCUUAUUUCAAGAUGAUGGCACUGGCAUUUGCUACAUUUAAGCACAUUUUCCUAUAUAUUGAGAAAAAUAUUCUUAAAUCUUUUCUUUGUAUCCAGACAAAUAGCUUGUUUUUAGUCUGAACGCACUAGGUUAAAGAUAUCUGUAUGUUCUUUGAGACUAGAUCUUUUUACUUGUUUAACAAAUCUUGGCAAGUUAAAUUGUCCUGUUUUGCUUAUUUUAAGUAAUAUUUCCUAAUUUUAUUGCUUUUUUUUCUUGUUUUGGGGAGCUGACUUUUUGCAGUGUAAAAUGUAAUUUGGAACGUGGAAAAUACUAUUGUUUAGGAUAUUGUAAACAUACUGUACUUUAAUAAUAGGCUAUAUUGUUGUAUGGGUGAAAUGAAAAGUAUUUUGUCAUCUCUGCUUUGCCUAGCCCCAUUGAGUAAAAAGC